GAAAUAAUAUUUUUCAAAGUUUUUAAUUACAGUCUGUUUUGGGGGCCACUGAACUAGUUUGUGGUCGACCCAUAGCAAAAUGAAAAUUGUAAUUCCGGUUUGGAGCCGAUAAGAAGAUUAAAAUGGUAUCGGGCCAAUUUUAAUUAGCAUUCGAUAAAUGCAAAUCUUGCAAACGCAUCGCAACUGUAUUGGGUUCGUCUGAAAAUGUUCGACAUUGACAGCGAGAAGUGAGGAUUGAUUGGGCCACGGUUGCCAUUUGGCCAAGCUCUGAGCCACCUUUUGUGCUUGGCUGCUCGGCAUUGAUGGCCAUUCAUGGAUAUAUUCGCCCCUUUAAAAGCCCUUUGAGCUUCAAUGACAACCAUUACAUUUAAGAUUGUAGAUCAUUAUUGAUAUUUCAAUUAUGAGUCGUAUAUGAAUUUUGCGCCUAUUUACAUCACUCUAAACCGGUUGCUUUAACAGACGUCUUGCAAGGAAGAAUCUAGAGAAACCAAGGAAAGCUGCUGGCUGAACUUGCUAGUUGGGUCCACCUCUUGUUAGUUGCAGUGCGCAUCAGGAAUGAAAGCUCAACCUGCCAAGCACGUCAUAUGUAUGAUAAUAUGGAGAAUGUGUGUGCUUGAGUGAUCUGUCAAUUUGCAGGUAAACGAAUUAUCCCAGCAUUUGGCAUUAUGCAAGUACUUCAAUCGCCCCAACUCGCAUUCCGCCUUUCCGGCAACAGCAAGUGUCUGUUUAAUGACCUGCCCAGGGCAAUGCCGUUGCUGUUGCCGUUGCCGUUGUCGAUGCCGAUGGCAAUAUUUACGCAUGCCAUGUACCACCUUUCAUAUGUUGCGGGGCGUGUUUAUUAUAUACGGUAAUUCGAAGGUGAACCGGGCAGCAGAGGUGGAAAGCAGCAAGCAAAAAGUAAACCAAUGCCGAGGGUCUUCU